ACCUAUGGCCAUCCCACCCUGGUAACGCCUGAUCUCGUCCGAUCUCGGAAGCUAAGCUGGGUCAGGCCUGGUUAGUACCUGGAUGGGAGACCUCCUGGGAAUACCGGGUGCUGUAGGCU